UCGAGGGGCAGCGGGAGUAGCAAUACUUGCCGGCGACCGGCGCACGGGUGCGUAACACGUAUGUAAUCUACCUAUAACUGGGGGAUAGCCCGAAGAAAUUCGGAUUAAUACCCCAUAACAUUAUGAAACGGCAUCGUUUUAUAAUUAAAGCUCCGGCGGUUAUGGAUGAGCAUGCGUCCGAUUAGCUAGUUGGUGAGGUAACGGCUCACCAAGGCGACGAUCGGUAGGGGUACUGAGAGGUUACACCCCCACACUGGUACUGAGACACGGACCAGACUCCUACGGGAGGCAGCAGUAAGGAAUAUUGGACAAUGGUCGCAAGACUGAUCCAGCCAUGCCGCGUGCAGGAUGACUGCCCUAUGGGUUGUAAACUGCUUUUAUACGGGAAUAAACCCUUGGACGUGUCCGAGGCUGAAUGUACCGUAAGAAUAAGGGUCGGCUAACUUCGUGCCAGCAGCCGCGGUAAGACGAAGGACCCGAGCGUUAUCCGGAUUCAUUGGGUUUAAAGGGUGCGUAGGCGGAUUGAUAAGUCAGUGGUGAAAGCCCAACGCUUAACGUUGGAACUGCCAUUGAUACUGUCGAUCUUGAAUAUGUUUGAUGUGGGCGGAAUAUGACAUGUAGCGGUGAAAUGCUUAGAUAUGUCAUAGAACACCGAUUGCGAAGGCAGCUCACAAAGCCAUUAUUGACGCUGAGGCACGAAAGUGCGGGGAUCAAACAGGAUUAGAUACCCUGGUAGUCCGCACUGUAAACGUUGAUUACUCGCUGUUGGCGAUACACUGUCAGCGGCUAAGCGAAAGCGUUAAGUAAUCC
rnacentral:rRNA from 1 species